rnacentral:rRNA from 1 species
UGGCGAGUGGCGAACGGGUGAGUUAAUAUAUCGGAACGUGCCAUUGAGUGGGGAUAACGUAGCGAAAGUUACGCUAAUACCGCAUAUUCUGUGAGCAGGAAAGCAGGGGGACCGCAAGGCCUUGCGCUCUUUGAGCGGCCGAUGUCAGAUUAGCUAGUUGGUGAGGUAAAGGCUUUACCAAGGCGACGAUCUCGUAGCGGGUCUGAGAGGAUGAUCCGCCACACUGGAACUGAGACGCGGUCCAGACUCCUACGGGAGGCAGCAGUGGGGAAUAUUGCCACAAUGGGCGAAAGCCUGAUGCAGCAACGCCGCGUGAGGGACGUAAGGUCCGUUCGGGUUAGUAAACCUCUUUUAGCAGGGAAGAAGCGAAAGUGACGGUACCUGCAGAAAAGCACCGGCUAACUACGUG